rnacentral:tRNA from 1 species
GAGGGUAUAUCUCAGUGAUUGAGUGUGUGGUUAGCAUGCAGGAAGUCCUGGGUUCAAUUCCCAGUACCUCCA